rnacentral:lncRNA from 1 species
UGUGCAUACCUGGUGCCUGCGGAGGUCAGAAAAGGACAGUGACUCUUUUGAAACUGGUAUUGCAGAUGGUUGUAAACCACCAUGUGGGCAGUAGGAACAGAGUCCAGGCCCUCUGCUACAGUCUCAGUACUAUUGAGCCAUCUCUCCAGCCUCAUUUAGCAAUUUUGAAGAGGGUUUUGUGUUGUAUAAUUGGAGAUUAAGUAUGGCUCCCUUUCAGUGUGCAAGUAUUUAACUGUUGGUUUCCCCAAUUCAGAAGUGGAUUGAAAUUAGAAAAAAUUCUGCUGACUCACUUGGCCAAUGGUCUUCAUUUUCUAGGACCAAGACCCCUGGACCUGGAGCCCAGUCAGCCCUCAGAGCUCUUGCUCGCUCUGGGAUGAAGAUUGGGCGGAUUGGUAAGUCCCCUCUGGUUAACACUUGGGGCUGCUUUGAAGCAGUGACCCCUUCCAAACCAUGCCACAUGCCUAAUGGGUCAGCUUUGGUUGGCUUUUGUUAAGGAGCCUGUAAAAGGCAUUAUGGGAGAGAGUUCAUCUCUAAAUGGUACAGCUUUUCCCCAUCUAUGUUGGGAAAACAUUUCUGACUGAUUCAGCAGCCUUCUGUCUCUUAACCCAUGACUCCCUUGAUUGCCCUCACAUCUCUUCCCUGCUGGCCCUUUGUAACAGUGUCGCUCCUGACACCUGGUGUAAAGAGCAAACAGCCACAGCUGAUCAGUGUAGGGUCACUUUCUAUUAGAAGCAGUAGCUCUGACUUAGGAACUUGGUUUCCUGCAUCUCUGAUUGUGCACCUUCUCAGGGCCUGAGGCCCCUUCCAAAAGGGAGUUGGAAUGAGGAAUUGCUGACCAUUGGAGAUGCAUUUGGGAAAGAAUAAAGUCUACUGCUAGUUAGACUUGUGGCUACAGGCAAUGACUUUUUUUUUCCUUCUCACAGAGGAUGUCACCCCCAUCCCCUCUGACAGCACUCGAAGGAAGGGUGGUCGUCGGGGUCGCCGUCUGUGAACAGGACUUCUCAAGUUAUUUUCUGUUAAUAAAUUGCUUUGUAAGCUA